rnacentral:rRNA from 1 species
UGGGGAAUAUUGGACAAUGGGCGCAAGCCUGAUCCAGCGAUGCCGCGUGUGUGAAGAAGGCCUGCGGGUUGUAAAGCACUUUCGUUGGGAAAGAAAGAGCAGUCACUAAUACUGGCUGCAGUUGACGUUACCCAAAUAAGAAGCACCGGCUAACUCUGUGCCAGCAGCCGCGGUAAUACAGAGGGUGCAAGCGUUAAUCGGAAUUACUGGGCGUAAAGGGUGCGUAGGUGGUUGAGUAAGUUGGAUGUGAAAUGCCUGGGCUUAACCUGGGAUCUGCAUACAAAACUGCUCGGCUAGAGUAAGGUAGAGGGAAGUGGAAUUUCCGGUGUAGCGGUGAAAUGCGUAGAUAUCGGAAGGAACACCAGUGGCGAAGGCGGCUUCCUGGACCAUUACUGACACU